GUCAUUAUGACCCUUCAAUGAUAUAUUUGGGUAUCACCUUUUAGAAAAGGAUAUUGUUAUAUGUACAUCAAACUUUACAUAAUGGGUUACAUUAUACCACAUGUCACGAUAUCAUUCGUUAGUUUAAAUCAUAGUCAAUUUUUUCAUCCAAUAUUUUCUCUUCACAUCAUUUUAUGUAAUCCCUUAGUGCAAUUUUUAUGUACAUGUAGCAUGAUCCUUCAAAAAAAUGAUGCAAUUUCAUUUUCUAAUAUAAAAUAUUUCAUUUACGAAGUACUAACUGUGUGGUAAUUAAAAUAACAAAAAUAUUCAUUGCUAUGCUGCUACUGAUUAAAUAUUGAGCUGUGUGUGAAUAAUAUUAUUUGUCAUGCUAAUGGUCAGAUAUGAGCUUCAUGCCAUUCGACUAGAAAAACUAAAAGAGCUUAGAGCAGAGAACGGAACUGUCUCAAAUACUAGUGCAUGUGAACUUGAAAUGUCAGAAGCAAAACACACAAUAUCUAUGGAGCCUGCAACUUCCAUGGAAAGAAACUCAGAUGGCGCUCAAAGCUGAAAUCGAGGAAGAGGUACUAGUUUGCUUCUUGUUCCACCUUUCUCAGGAUUAAUUUCAUUUUGAUCUUCAUUUCCCUACUUUGAUGUUUCUGUUGCUAAAUUGAGGAACUUUUUUAACAUUCAGAUAAUUUGGCAGCGACUGGGGAAAAUGCAAAGAUAUUUGACGCUCAGGAAAAAAAAAAAAAAUACUCACUCAGUUGUUAGGAAAAAUCUAAACGGACAGGGCAACGUGGACGUACAUGUGCUCCCCCCUGGACGGACAGGGCCUACGUUGCCUUGUCCGUGUAGCAGGCCUCCAGUUGUUAAUCUGCCAAGGGAAGACCUCAAGGUGAUUUACCGGGGAAAUUAUAACAAAGCCUUACCAGGCAGAUGACCUGAGUUCGAGUUUCCUUUUGGGAGGGCGAAAUCCUGUGAUUCCCUUUCUAGGGACAAAAGGUCGUAUGGCUUAGAUAAUUGGUUUUGCUGAAAAUAACAAGAAUUAUUAUCCGCAUAGCUAAUUUUUAGUUCUCUCUCUCUUUCUACUGUAUCUUUUUGUCAUCUUGUUUAUAAGUUUAAGAGGGGGUUUGAGAUUCAUUUUUAUGUAAAAAUUCAUUUUAGAAUAGUGAAUUGAUGAGGAAUGUGUGGUUGAAAAAUAAGAAUUUUUUUUUAAUUUACGUAUAAUAUUAUUUUAAUAAAGAAAGUGUGAUUGAAAAGGAAAG
rnacentral:lncRNA from 1 species